rnacentral:rRNA from 1 species
UACGUAGGGGGCGAGCGUUGGUCCGGAUUUAUUGGGCGUAAAGAGCGUGGUAGGCGGCCAGGUAGGUCUCUGUGAAAACUCGAGGCUCAACCAUCGAGACCGGUCCGGGCGGAAACCAUCGUGGCUAGAGUCCGGAAGAGGAGAGUGGAAGUCCUGGUGUAGCGGUGAAAUGCGCAGAUAUACAGGAAGAACCACCCGUGGCGAAGGCGGCUCUCUGGGACGGUACUGACGC